rnacentral:lncRNA from 1 species
AAGCCAUGGCUAGCAAGCCAGUAAGCAGCAUUCCUCUAUGGCCUCUGUAUCAGCUCUUGUCUCCAGGUUCCUGCUCUGAUGGAGUCUCCCUCCUCACUGCUUUCAAUGAACUGCCUUUCUGCUUUAGGUCCAAUCUGUAGCACUAUUGUACUGGAUAGAGGCUAUGCGUCUAUCUCCUGUUAAGUCCCAGGCUAGAGUUGUGCUUACUUGGCCUUUGGUGGCAGAUGUCAGUUGCCCAGGAUGGGUUCUGGAACUGAACCAUGCUCCUCUGCAAGAGCAGCAGGCUCUUUAACUACACAGUUACCUCUCCAGCCUUGAAGUUACCUGGCUCUGUUCUGUAAGGUGAUGGCCAAUGCAGGAGUAACACAGAAGUUUUAACUGUAGCUUUUGCACUAUUUUCAGGCACUGUAUGAAACCUGGAGUUCCAGAAGAAGUCAUAAUCUGAGGUGCAAGCCUGUUGCUCCAGUGUAGGACAGGGGUGCUGCCAGAAACUAGAGGUGCAUCUGAACCCAGGGAAGUCAGAGCAGCUGGAAGAAAGCUAUGGGCUCAAGGAUUUGGAAGAAGGGAGUGGCUAGGAAGAGGAAUAAAGGUGUGUUAACUGCAGGGACAAAAAUGGAGAAGAUCCUGAAGAAAAGGAGAUCCAGCAACAGGCUCAAAGUGGGAUCCAGCUCAAGGGGAGGCCUCAAGGCCUGACACUAUUACUGAGACUAUGGGAUGCUCAUGAAAAAGGGGCCUAUCAUGACUACCCUCUGAAAGAUUCAACAAGCCGCUGAAAGAGUCAAAUGGAGAUAUUUAUACCCAUUUGGUAUGAUGGACAAAAACUGCUGACACCUGUGGUUGAAGAAGCUGAGGAGGGUUACCCUGUAGGACAACCAGCAGUCUCAACUAACCUGGACCCCUGAGAUCUCUCAGACACUGGAUCACCAACCAGGUAGCAUGAGGCCCCCAGCACAUAUACAGCAGAGGACUGCCAGGUCUGGACAAAGUCAGAGAAGAUGCACCUAAUCCUCAAGAGACUGGAGGCUCUAGGUAGUGGACAGGUCUGGUGGGGUGGAGGUGGGGAGUUGGGGGGUGGGGACAUUCUUGUGGAGACUGGAGGAGGAGGUAUGGAAUAUGGGGUAGAUCAGGAGGGGAAUAAAAUCUGGAUUGUAAAAAAAAAAAAUUAAAUUAUGAUAGGUUAGGUGGUUCCAAACAAAGAAUAUAGGGCAGGGUCUUAAAAUGUAGAUUUGUCUCUAGGUCUUAGACGAUCUGAAGGUCAAAAGGGAUCAGAUGAGUGGAAGGACCCCAGAGGAUGAGCUCUUCUGCUUACGAGUAUACAUUUCCAUAGUCUCAGGAAACUUUGCAGCCAAGUCAUGAAGACAAGGCAAGUUGUGACAUUAGCCCAGGCCCUUCCUAGUCAGAGGGGGAAAUCAAAUUAGAUUGCAUAGAGUCUUGCUGUUUGAAGGAAUGAAGUGGUUGUUAAUGCUGACUGCUUUUUGAAACAAUGCAUUAAUAAGAUUCCAUUUCAAACACUUUCCCCAAAUGCCUUUAGUUUAUUUUCUCAUUAAACAGAGGUCUUGGGGUGGC